rnacentral:sRNA from 1 species
AUUCUGCCCAUGCGGGGAAGGAUGAGAAGCUUCGACUAAGGUUCGGCUCGAGCGUCAGCGAGAGAGCGUCAGCGAGAGAGCGUCAGCGAGAGAGCGUUGCCGCAGGCAACGACCCGAAGGGCGAAGCGCGCAGCGCUGAGUAAUCCUUCCCCCACCACCA